rfam:Jaapia argillacea MTCL 33604 unplaced genomic scaffold JAAARscaffold_27, whole genome shotgun sequence.
GGCCGACUGGCGAAAUGGCAUCGCGUCUGACUACGAACCGGAGGGGUCGAACCUUCAUUGCUUACGUAAUCAGGAGACUGCAGGUUCGAGCCCUGCGUCGGUCA